rnacentral:misc_RNA from 1 species
GCAAACUUGGUCAUUUAGAGGAAGUAAAAGUCGUAACAAGGUCUCCGUUGGUGAACCAGCGGAGGGAUCAUUAUAGAGUUUUUACAACUCCCAACCCUUUGUGAACUUUGUUCUCUAUCUCUGCUUCGACAGGUGGUCCCAGGGCGGGACCAGCGCCUGUCUGACAAAGACAGGCACCUGUCAGAGGUGGAACAAGACUCUGUUUUUUUUCAAUGAGUUUCUGAGUGGUUUAUAAAAUAAGUUAAAACUUUCAACAACGGAUCUCUUGGUUCUGGCAUCGAUGAAGAACGCAGC